GGAUUAGAUACCCUGGUAGUCCACGCCGUAAACGAUGUCUACUAGCCGUUGGGGUACUUGAUACCUUAGUGGCGCAGCUAACGCACUAAGUAGACCGCCUGGGGAGUACGGCCGCAAGGUUAAAACUCAAAUGAAUUGACGGGGGCCCGCACAAGCGGUGGAGCAUGUGGUUUAAUUCGAAGCAACGCGAAGAACCUUACCAGGUCUUGACAUCCUCGGAACUUAGCAGAGAUGCUUUGGUGCCUUCGGGAACCGAGUGACAGGUGCUGCAUGGCUGUCGUCAGCUCGUGCCG
rnacentral:rRNA from 1 species